GUUCCUUGGAAAAGGACAGCUGAGAGGGUGACACUCCCGUCCGCCUGGUAGAGUGAGUCUUUGUCAACGAGUCGAGUUGUUUGGGAUUGCAGCUCUAAUUUGGUGGUAAAUUCCAUCUAAAGCUAAAUAUUGGUGGGAGACCGAUAGCGUACAAGUACCGUGAGGGAAAGAUGCAAAGAACUUUGAAAAGAGAGUUAAAGAGUACCUGAAAUUGCUGAAACGGAAGCGAAGGAAACCAGUGUUUGUUGGUUCAUAUUCCCCUUGUCACUUGUGAUGUGGGCGCUGUGAGCUUGCGUGGGUUUGCUUUGGUUGAUUCCUUUGGAAGAGCGCAGUCAGAGUUGAUGUCU
rnacentral:rRNA from 1 species